AACGCGAAGAACCUUACCUGGUCUUGACAUAGUAAGAACUUUCCAGAGAUGGAUUGGUGCCUUCGGGAACUUACAUACAGGUGCUGCAUGGCUGUCGUCAGCUUGUGUCGUGAGAUGUUGGGUUAAGUCCCGCAACGGGCGCAACCCUUUUCCUUAUUUGCCAGCGGGUUAAGCCGGGAACUUUAAGGAUACUGCCAGUGACAAACUGGAGGAAGGCGGGGACGACGUCAAGUCAUCAUGGCCCUUACGACCAGGGCUACACACGUGCUACAAUGGUCGGUACAAAGGGUUGCUACCUAGCAAUAGGAUGCUAAUCUCAAAAAGCCGAUCGUAGUCCGGAUUGGAGUCUGCAACUCGACUCCAUGAAGUCGGAAUCGCUAGUAAUCGCGGAUCAGAAUGCCGCGGUGAAUACGUUCCCGGGUCUUGUACACACCG
rnacentral:rRNA from 1 species